UUGAUUUGACAGACCUGAAACAGUUACUCUCUACUUCUGAGGUUUGCGCUACAGAUACAGGAAAAAAGUAUCCUCGUGCUUUCUGUCUGUCUGAUUGUGGCAGCCAAGACUGAAUGGGGGAAAACAGGG
ensembl:snoRNA